rnacentral:misc_RNA from 1 species
GAUGAAGAACGCAGCGAAAUGCGAUAAGUAGUGUGAAUUGCAGAAUUCAGUGAAUCAUCGAAUCUUUGAACGCACAUUGCGCCCGCCAGUAUUCUGGCGGGCAUGCCUGUUCGAGCGUCAUUACAACCCUCAGGCCCCCGGGCCUGGCGUUGGGGAUCGGCGGAAGCCCCCUGCGGGCACAACGCCGUCCCCCAAAUACAGUGGCGGUCCCGCCGCAGCUUCCAUUGCGUAGUAGCUAACACCUCGCAACUGGAGAGCGGCGCGGCCACGCCGUAAAACACCCAACUUCUGAAUGUUGACCUCGAAUCAGGUAGGAAUACCCGCUGAACUUAAGCAUAUCAAUAAGCGGAGA